CACGUAGGGCGCAAGCGUUGUCCGGAAUUAUUGGGCGUAAAGAGCUCGUAGGCGGUCUGUUGCGUCCGCUGUGAAAACUCGGGGCUUAACCCCGAGCCUGCAGUGGAUACGGGCAGACUAGAGGUAGGUAGGGGAGAAUGGAAUUCCCAGUGUAGAGGUGAAAUUCGUAGAUAUUGGGAAGAACACCAGCGGCGAAGGCGGCUAUCUGGACCACAACUGACGCUGAGGCGCGAAAGCGUGGGGAGCAAACAGG
rnacentral:rRNA from 1 species